UCCAAUCUGGAGGCAGUCAGUCUACAUCUAUAAAGCAUAGAAUUACCUUCCAAACAAGAUUACGUUCUUUCUCGAGCUAUGUUUAUAUUUGAGGUAUGAUGAUAGUUGUUGACCGUGUUUUUUAUUUUAGACAAAGUACACAGUUGGGGGCCAGACUGAUCUCCUGGUCAUGAAUGGAUUCCGGGACCUACCAGAAGGAGCAAAGCUUGCCAGGCAAGACCUCCGAAUCAAACUGCGCAAUGCGACAUAACUACCCUCGUGACACCUCCCCCAUUGUCGCCAGUCUCCCUCGAAUCCUAUGUCAAGAACAGGCCCUCAUGAUGACACAGACGGCUUCAUCAACAAUGACAGGUGUUUUGUGAAAAGUUGUAUUUAGAAAAAACCUGCUUGAUAAACUAGUAGGCUAAUUCCCUAGCCAAGCAGAUACAACUAGCAGAGUCAUGUUGGUUGUGAAGUGCAGUAGAAAAACACUGGCUGUUUAUUAUAUCACCCUGUCACAGACUCUCCCGGUCGAUAAGAUUGCCUGCUGCAAUUGUUCGAGAGCUGUCCGAACAUGCAGCAUAGAAAAGACCAGUAAGGGGGGUCCUUAUUAGCAUCAUGCAGACAAGCCCUCGCUGUGAGCAUUCCUAUGAAUGGAACAGUCAGCCAUGUGUCGGGAAGUGUCCGGCCAGCGACCGUCCCCUGUCAACAGCAACAGUUUUCUCAAGCUCAUCAUUUGUACAAACACGGAAGUAUCUUUGGUGAGUGGCCAGGAGCUGACCUACGCUGCUAUGUACAUCAACGGGGCUCUGGCAAAGACCUCACCUCCAGCCUCGCCUCUUGCCUGCUCCCCAACGGUGGCCGACGGCGAGAACAGAAUUAGAUGCAUGAGAUGCGGAGAGACCGGGCACUCAACCCAUCCACUCAACCCAUCCACUCAACCCAUCCACUCAACCCAUCCACUCAACACAUCCACUCAACACAUCCACUCAACACAUCCACUCAACCCAUCCACUCA